UACGUAGGGUGCAGGCGUUAAUCGGAAUUACUGGGCGUAAAGCGUGCGCAGGCGGUCUUUUAAGUCAGAUGUGAAAUCCCCGGGCUUAACCUGGGAACUGCGUUUGAAACUGAAAGGCUAGAGUGUGGCAGAGGGGGGCGGAAUUCCACGUGUAGCAGUGAAAUGCGUAGAGAUGUGGAGGAACACCGAUGGCGAAGGCAGCCCCCUGGGCUAACACUGACGCCUCAUGCACGAAAGCGUGGGGAGCAAACAGG
rnacentral:rRNA from 1 species